GAUGAACGCUAGCGGCAGGCUUAACACAUGCAAGUCGAGGGGCAGCAUGACACGGAGAUUCGUCGAAGUGUUGAUGGCGACCGGCGCAAGGGUGCGUAACGCGUGAGCAACUUGCCCGUUUCUGGGGAAUAACCGGUGGAAACGCCGACUAAUACCCCAUAGUAUAACGAAGAGGCAUCUUUUGUAUUAAAGAACUUCGGAAACGGAUAGGCUCGCGUGACAUUAGCUAGAUGGCGGGUAACGGCCCACCACGGCGACGAUGUCUAGGGGUUCUGAGAGGAAGGUCCCCCACACUGGAACUGAGACACGGUCCAGACUCCUACGGGAGGCAGCAGUGAGGAAUAUUGGUCAAUGGUCUGACGACUGAACCAGCCAUGCCGCGUGAAGGUGACGGCCCUAUGGGUCUUAAACUUCUUUUGUAAGGGAGCAAUAAGCCUCACGUGUGGGGUGAUGAGAGUACCUUACGAAUAAGCAUCGGCUAACUCCGUG
rnacentral:rRNA from 1 species